CACGUAGGGUGCGAGCGUUGUCCGGAAUUAUUGGGCGUAAAGAGCUCGUAGGCGGUGUGUCACGUCGGCCGUGAAAACCUGCAGCUUAACUGUGGGCGUGCGGUCGAUACGGGCAUGACUGGAGUUCGGCAGGGGAGACUGGAAUUCCUGGUGUAGCGGUGAAAUGCGCAGAUAUCAGGAGGAACACCAAUUGCGAAGGCAGCUCGCUGGGACGUUACUGACGCUGAGGAGCGAAAGCGUGGGGAGCGAACAGG
rnacentral:rRNA from 1 species